UUGAUGCCCUAGAAGCACGGUGCGGAGCACAUCCUGGGAUCAAGGUGCCACGGACUGGAAAAUGCUGCUGUGGCGGAGUUCCUGUGUGAAGACAAAACUCCCAGUCGCCCAGAAAUGUGGAGGCAGAAGAGCAGUGACAAGGUAUCUACAUGUCUAUCUGUGUAUGUGCACAGCAGGCCCAGCUGCCCCUGCUUCCUCCCUCCACGGGAUCUGCUCCUGCUGCUGCUGCUGCUGGAGUCUCCUCUGGCCACGGUGGUGUGGGGCGAGUUCUUUUGUCAAACAGGAUCUACCGUUUGUCAACCCCUUGUGACCGGGCCUGAUCCCCUGGUUGACCUUUAAUGAAUCGCAACAUUAUGCAUCCCAUAACCUACCCUGGCACCGAGGCAUUGUGAUCAACUUAGGAAAUGAACGGACGAAGAAUAGCUUUGUUUGCAUUCUGGUAACUGCUGAGGCUUUGGCUGACGACAGCUUUCAGCUGCACCUGAACUAGGCUGGAUUUGUCUCCUGCUCUCCAUAGGUGUAUGGGAACUGUAUAAUCACAGCCUGACCCCCUGUUUGACUACCUGAGGCGAGUGCUGAGUCAGCUGCAGGGGCACAGGUGAUGGCAGUUUCACCUGAGUGACCGUAAGGGGUGGACCCUGGCUGCAGCCCUGC
rnacentral:lncRNA from 1 species